GUGGGGAAUAUUGGACAAUGGGGGGAACCCUGAUCCAGCCAUGCCGCGUGUGUGAAGAAGGCCUUUUGGUUGUAAAGCACUUUAAGCGAGGAGGAGGCUACCGAGAUUAAUACUCUUGGAUAGUGGACGUUACUCGCAGAAUAAGCACCGGCUAACUCUGUGCCAGCAGCCGCGGUAAUACUGAGGGUGCAAGCGUUAAUCGGAUUUACUGGGCGUAAAGCGCGCGUAGGUGGCCAAUUAAGUCAAAUGGGAAAUCCCCGAGCUUAACGUGGGAAUUGCAUUCGAUACUGGUUGGCUAGAGUAUGGGAGAGGAUGGUAGAAUUCCAGGUGUAGCGGUGAAAUGCGUAGAGAUCUGGAGGAAUACCGAUGGCGAAGGCAGCCAUCUGGCCUAAUACUGACACUGAGGUGCGAAAGCAUGGGGAGCAAACAGGAUUAGAAACCCCAGUAGUCC
rnacentral:rRNA from 1 species